UAGAGUUUGAUCCUGGCUCAGGACGAACGCUGGCGGCGUGCUUAGCACAUGCAAGUCGAGCGGACUAAAAGAGCUUGCUCUUUUAGUUAGCGGCGGACGGGUGAGUAACACGUGGGUAAUCUGCCCUCAAGUGGGGAAUAACACAAAGAAAUUUGUGCUAAUACCGCAUAAAGUAUGCUAAUCGCAUGAUAGGCAUAAAAAAGAUUUAUUGCUUGAGGAUGAGCCCGCGGCCCAUUAGCUAGUUGGUGAGGUAAAGGCCCACCAAGGCCACGAUGGGUAGCCGACCUGAGAGGGUGAUCGGCCACAUUGGAACUGAGACACGGUCCAGACUCCUACGGGAGGCAGCAGUGGGGAAUAUUGCACAAUGGGGGAAACCCUGAUGCAGCAACGCCGCGUGAGUGACGAAGGCCUUCGGGUUGUAAAGCUCUGUCUUCACUGACGAAGUAUGACGGUAAGUGAGGAGGAAGCCACGGCUAACUACGUGCCAGCAGCCGCGGUAAUACGUAGGUGGCAAGCGUUGUCCGGAAUUAUUGGGCGUAGAGGAUGCGUAGGCGGUCUUUUAAGUGGGAUGUGAAAUACCCGGGCUCAACUUGGGUGCUGCAUUUGAAACUGGGUAUCUAGAGUGCAGGAGAGGAAAGUGGAAUUCCUAGUGUAGCGGUGAAAUGCGUGGAGAUUAGGAAGAACACCAGUGGCGAAGGCGACUUUCUGGACUGUAACUGACGCUGAGGCUCGAAAGCGUGGGGAGCAAACANGAUUAGAUACCCUGGUAGNNNACGCCG
rnacentral:rRNA from 1 species